rnacentral:sRNA from 1 species
GCGCGAUUUCAGGCGACCACCAGUACGC